UUCUAUAGAUUGUCAACACUGCAUCCGCAUAGGGGACAAUUAAGUGUAGUUCCCUCCCAGGGAUGCCAAACAUCUGGCUGCCCACCCAUCCUACAUCCUACAGUGCUGUGUGCCACCAUUGGCUCUCUUGUCUGGAAACAGUCCAAUGGCUGACUGCUGUAUGAAAGAUUUUGUACCCUGGGGUGAUGCCUUUUCCUUAUCCUGGUCCAGAAUGUUUGCAUCUUUGCCUUUUCUACUAUUCCUUCUCAAGUUCCUGUCUAAUACUAGAGAUAAGAAAACCCCUUUGAUAUUACCCCAGGGACAGAUACACUUUCUCCUAACACACUGGAUGUCCUAAUGAACAGUAAACACUGGGAUAACCUGGUAAUUUUACCAGGGGAUGGGCCUUUGGAUUGGACUACAUUUUUUGUACUAUUUUUCUUAUUGGACUACUCACUGGACAAGCAGGUUGGAGGGCGGGUACGGCAAUUUAGUAUGCAAAUUGUUACAAUUGGUCACUCUUUAUAUUGUCUGCACAACGGUUUUCUUGUAUGCUUGAUAAAGGGGCUUGCCCCGAAACGUUACACAUUCAAACGAAAUAAACA